AGUAGGAUAGCUAGGUCAAAUGGAGGUUUCAUUCCAAGUUUUCUAAGGAAUCUCCAUACUGCUUUCCAGAGUGUUUGCACCAUUUUGCAGUCCUACCACCUAU
rnacentral:pre_miRNA from 1 species